GGUGAUAUAGUAUGGUGUGGUGGGUGGGUCACGUUGCCGUUGUAGAAGUCUCUUCAUGGCAGUCGGCUGGCUCUAGGGUGUGGGCAUGCUGCGUGGGUGCUGGCGGAGACUUCUUUGUCAUGCCCGCGCGGAUCGUCCGGGGGCAGCGGGACUCCCACCGCAUGUCACAGCGUCUGAGCCCCUUCGCCUCCCCUCUCCUCACUGCGCGUCCCAGGCCUAGCAUGAGGAUGUGUGUAAGUCUGCGGGUCCUUUUGUAACUGUCAACAAACACCACGAAACCACUGAGGUGGCUGAGUAUUUUGCUGCUUUUUUACUGAAAGGAGCUGAGGCUUUUGGACAUCAGUCAGCUGAUCAGUCUGAACAGCACAGUACCAUGUUAGUUGGUAUAAUAGCAGAAGUGGCCUUUGGAGAAAAUGUUUUAGGUGGAUGGAAAAGCUAGCAACUGGGUGUGUAAAGCAGCCCUUAACAUGACCACUAUGAAUCUCAGCAGUGAACUUCGACAAGAAAAAACAAAUAUGUUUGUAAAGUGAUAUUGUGAUACUGGUCUGAUCGGGCAAAACCACUGCUGAUGCCUACCUAUGAUUGGAAGAGAACAUAGGCCACAGACUUUGGAAUGCUGACCUCAUAUUAGGCAAGUCUGUUGCUCACUUUCCCACCCCUGCGCAACUCCUGUUUUCCUGUCCUUUCUUCGUAUCAUUAAACUCAUAUCAGAGUCCAGUGUUAUUGGUUGCAUGGGAUCCAGUCUCACUUGGCUGUACAUACACUUUCCCUAAAGAAGUUGGAUGUUACCCCCUGUGCUAGGCAUUUAUUAUGCAAAGAAAGCAAGGAACACUAUUUCAUUGUAACAGUUCUGAAUGAUUUUUAGUUGAAGUAAUGAAAAGGAAAGUCUGGCAAGUUUGAUGUUAGUGUUUCUUAGCUGUGAUUCCUGAACUGUGAGCAGAUAAUCAUAUUAGAAGUUACUGCAUAUGAAUAUGCAUUUUUAUUCAUAAAUAAACUGUACUGAGACAAGAGAAUGUCUUAAGAGCAACACAUGAAGGAGUAGAUUCCAUUCUUCCACUAAUGUUUAGUUGUAAAUGUAUUGGGCAACAGAUCAAAUAACUAUUGACGUAGAAAAUAACACAGAUUAUGUCAAACAAGGACUUGAAACAGUGUUUUGAGGUCAGUAACCUGUGUGCUUAGAACUUUGAUCACAGUGGUAGCAACCAGAUGACAUAAUUUUGGUGGAGAUACAAGCAAAUAUAAAUAGGUAGCUUUUCACUCAAAGUUACAAGCAGAACAACAAAAUGUUAGUGGGGUGAAAAUGCGUAUUUCUAAUAAGCUUAAGGAGCUUCAACAAACGAUGCUAAUACUGAUGAAUUAAUUUGCUGAAACUGCGAGGAAGGGUUUUUUUGUGUUGUUUAUUUAUAUUUAAAAAACGAACAACACCAGACAACAAAGCCUCCAUGGAUUCUGUUUUCAAUAAGCAGCAUGAAAGAGGAGUCUUCCCAAGGCCUUGCCAUAUCAAGUGGAAGACAGCAUGUUUUGUCUGAUGAAAUGUAAGUUUAACUGCUAAUCAGUCAAUCCAAAGCACUGCCAGAUUAAUAGCCAAACAGCUGUUAAUACUAUUUCUGCUAGAUUAAUUGCCAGCUUGCUGAUAAUACAAUUUCUGGGGAUCUGAAGCAGUGUAUUGGCUCUGUGAUUGGCUGAGAUAAACAGGAAUUCUUUUUAAGAAAAUUAAGAUAUUUACUUCUGAUGUUUUUCCAACAUAAAUCUUCCAGAUUUUUAUUUCAGUACUGAUCUUGUCAAAGCAAAUGGGUUAAAAGUCUGACUGUGGAAGGCUACUAUUAAAUUUGACAGUUGAGGUAUGGUUAUUUUCAUUUUGAUUUUUUUUGUUAAGCUGAUCCAAGUAAUAGUUCUCACUUCUAAACUAAAACAGUCUUUUCUUGCACUUUUUGUUUGUGAUUGCUGCUGUUGUCUCUUUAAAGGGGAGGUGAAAAGAGCAGUUACUCAGUUUGUGGAAUGUCUGAAGAUCUGCAGAUACAAAGCACUACAUAAUUGCAAAGGACUUGAAUUCAGAGCUGUAUUAUGUCACCUUCCCUUUUCCUUAUAUCAGUCCAUACUGUGACCUGAAUAAAUCUGCUUGUAAUUAAAUUUAAACUUGAUUGCUAAAUAGGAGUAGAAGAUUUGGUGUUUAUUUUUUUUAACCACAGGCUGUCUAAUUCACUGAAACUAUAACUCCAGCCUGAUUUCUCCCUGCAGGAAAGAGGUACCGUUUAAAUUUUGGGUUUUUUUAUUAAGUGUUAAUGAAGUGUUAAUUGAUUAAGUAGUCUUUGCUAAUCCUGUGAAAAACAGUCAUGAUGUGUCAGUUCUGUGCUGUUUGUGUUUGUAUCAAAAUGUGGGAUUUAAUUCCCUCUAAACAUUAAAUUGCUAGUUCAUGUAUUCUGGGAUGAUAUAAGGUUUGAAAACUGGCAUAAUAAGGCCAGAAAUCAGGCAGCUUUUCUCCUAUCAGGAUUUCAGGUCAAAAAUAUCUGUUUCACCUUACAUUGGACUUGUUUUAUGCCUGUGAAUAGAGACCAGAUUAUGUCAUUUGUGGGGAUUCUCUUCCUUGCAACUGUUGACCACUGAUGCCUCAUAAUCACUGCAGCAGUAUUUUCCUCAUAGCUUCGCUUGGUGGGGUAGCUGUACAUUCAUUCUGGUUUGUGUGCUAUCCGUCUUUCCCCUCCUCCUUCCUUGUUAGAGGUAAUGGAAUGAAAAUUCACAUCUCUGCUGAUAUUUUAAGUAAGUUUUGUAAAUGGAGACAAGACAAAACAAAUCAAUUGGUUCCUUCUACUUCUAGAGCCAUCAGGCAAAAAGUAUUGGAGAUUGAUAUCUCAGUCUCAUCAGUUCUGCUUUCAGACAAUAUGCAGAGGUUUUGGAAACAAACAAAAAUCCUUCUCUCCUGCUGUAUGAGAGAUAAAAAAUGCUUUUAUUUUCUCUUCCCAUCUCUGAAUUGGCUGGUGCCAAAACUAGCUCUGUGGCUUCUUUAUCUGACUUCUGUGUUAAAAUUAAGGACAGAAGCAACAAAUUUGGUUUACAGUGUUGGUAAGAUUAAGGAGUCUGAUUUACCAUUUGUGGGUCAAAAAGGAUGAUAAUGUAUGAGUGUCAAAACUAGACAAUCUUUGAGGUCCCUUCCAAUCCAAGCCAUUCUGUGAUUUUUAGGAUAUUAAAAAGUCUUUUGUGGCCUAUAAUUCUUGGCAUAUAUGUGUCUCUGAUUCUUUCAGAUUAAUCUUUGAUUCAGAGAAUGUGUUCAGAUGACCCAUGUAGUCUCUCUGAGUCUUAUUUUCAUUAGACCAAGUAUGUGUAUGUACAGUUGUGUUAUGUCUUAUUACAAGAAAAUAAAUGUUUUGGUAACACUAAGGUUCCUGCUGUGAAAUAGUUGCCUAUGCAGGAAUGACCCUGCAAGAUGCUUUCUAUUCAAUUUUCCACAAUGUAUCCAAUGGGAAGACAGAAGUGAUAAUUAUA
rnacentral:lncRNA from 1 species